UAGGGAAUCUUCCGCAAUGGGCGAAAGCCUGACGGAGCAACGCCGCGUGAGUGAUGAAGGUCUUCGGAUCGUAAAACUCUGUUAUUAGGGAAGAACAAAUGUGUAAGUAACUAUGCACGUCUUGACGGUACCUAAUCAGAAAGCCACGGCUAACUACGUGCCAGCAGCCGCGGUAAUACGUAGGUGGCAAGCGUUAUCAGGAAUUAUUGGGCGUAUAGCGCGCGUAGGCGGUUUUUUAAGUCUGAUGUGAAAGCCCACGGCUCAACCGUGGAGGGUCAUUGGAAACUGGAGAACUUGAGUGGAGAAGAGGAAAGUGGAAUUCCAUGUGUAGCGGUGAAAUGCGCAGAGAUAUGGAGGAACACCAGUGGCGAAGGCGACUUUCUGGUCUGUAACUGACGCUGAUGUGCGAAAGCGUGGGGAUCAAACAGG
rnacentral:rRNA from 1 species